rnacentral:lncRNA from 10 species
CUUAACUAAUCUGAAAUGUGUUGGUGGCAUGCUUGGCCUCUCAGGAGGUUCAGCAAAUACAACGAACACUUCUUCAAGGCCAUCAAAUGCGUGCCUGUUCUGUGGGACUCGCAAUGUAUUGGGAGAAUUUGAGUGUUUCUCCCCACAACACAUAAACGGCACAGAAAUUCCACGUGUCGUGAGUAACAGAUUUUACCUUUCUUGCAGUCCACCCAGUAGCAGUUUGAGGUCAGACAGGUAAUGCGACGACGUUGUAACAAGGUUCGAGAAUAGCACAUCUCACACACACGUGUGAACACCCAAUCAUCAGGCUCAUGAACUACAAAAGAAUCCUCAAGCCUUUUAAAUAAACUUCCACUCCUGCUCUGAAAAAAACAAAAACAAAAACAGGCUAAAACGAAGAUUUCAGCCCCGGCCACGAUGUUUGCUGUCAGCGGAUGGAAAAGUCUUCCUCAAUUGAUGGUUCAUACCCCAUUCUUCUGAAGUGCUGGUUAUGUUCAAAACUCUGCCAGAAAAGGCAGCUUUUAAAGCCUUAAAGCGAACUCUACAACUGAUAGCUCCUCUGCAUGAUAUCGUGGCCUACCUUGUCAGUUUUGCUAAGCUUGGCAAUUGUCCAGCAUGUUUUGAAUUUCCUCGAAGUCCCAACCCUUUGAGAGGUGACUGGGGAGGAACUGAGGGCAUUGCCCAUGCCCAAAUAUAUUCCAUAUUUACAUUUUACCCAGCUUUAACCAUA